GCAUUAAUUCCAGUCACAAGCCAAUACAAAUUAUCCAUUGCAAUACAAAUCACCAUCUUAAAGAAGACCGAAAGAGUUGCACAUAUGAAACCAACUAUGCUGCUCAAAUACAUUUAAAGGACUAAUCAAAUAUAACGAGCUUGAGAAGCACAUAUAAAACCAACAAACAAUUAAGAGGAUCAGCCAACAAUAUCUUUCAAUCACAACCACGAAAGUGACAAUGCAACUAACAGAGAAGAGGAGGAAAAAUGGACCUGAAUUGCCCUCCAAUUAAUGGAACUUCAGCGACUAGACAAACUUAAAAUCUAACCUUUCAUUUGAUGAAAUUUCAAGUAGUACAUGGACAGAAAUCGAACAAAUGCUACAACCAAAUCUCAAGACAACAAUUAAACUCAAACGAGAUCACGAACAGCACUGUAGACAACACCUCGAACUCGAUCGAACUCCAUGUUUGAAAAUCCAAAACAUUAGAAGAAGAUGAUCCUUUGUUUUUGCUUUCACGAUUUUCUACUCUCUCUUUGUUUUUUACCAGAUCUUCUCCCCUGUAUGUGUGUGCAUUUUUGAGUAGUAAAGAGGUGUGGAAAGACGCACAGGGGUCACCCUAGUGGCAGGGAGCUGGUGACGAGGUCAUUUGAUUUCAAGAGGAGAUUCAAGAGUCUGGUUCGCCUGGUGGGCGUAGAAGAAGAUGGAACGACAAUUUCUGGUAAGUAAGCCGCUGUGUCUGGUUGAAGAAAGGGGUCCUGAAGGUGCGAGCUCUGGUCUGUUGUUAUUGGAAUGAAAGAAGGAGCUCGAAUAAAGGGGUCGUUUUGUGUACUAUUGAAGACGAUGUCAUGGGGGUAGGUUCCUAUGUGAAUUGCGGUGCUAAUUCCUAAGGUCUAGGUCACCCUUUUUCUUGUAUUUUUUCCAGCUCUCUUAGGAGUUACUUUUGUGUAUUGCAGCUCAUUUCGUUUAAGGUCUGUGGCUGAUCUUUGCAAAUGAAAGAAAAUAGUCAUUUCGUGUUUUUUGUUUUUUGGCAUUUUUAGGCUGGGUUUUAUAGAGGGUAGGGAUCUAGGUUUUUUUUUAGGUUAAGCAGUAUUGUCCUAGGAAUUAUAAGCUUAGAAAUUAUGGGCUAGGUCCAAAAUUAGACCUAAAAAUAGGUGGUUCGAGCUCAACUUUUAUUCUUUCUCCGCGAAUGAGACUAAAAUACGAUCUUAUAUAUUAA
rnacentral:lncRNA from 1 species